UAUCAAAUUUUGAUCUUUUAAUGAUGUUCGUAUGAAUUACUUCAUUUCUUGAUAUAAUUGGUUGUUUACAAGUUAUUGUUAGUCUUUGACUGUACAAAAGUUAUUCAUUUUGUUAUGGAGUUUCAACUCAUGUAUAUAGAGAUGAAUUUGGUAGAAGGCAUAGGGGAGAGUUCCUCACCGUUGAGGAGUUUUGGGACUUGUGUAGUGUAUGUUAUAAAAAAUGAUGCGUAUAACCUUCUUGUAGAGAUUGGAAAUGCUUAGGUCGUUUCCACUACUACCAAUAUAAAAAUUAUGGACUCUCCUUUUGAGUACGAUAUUGAGAAAUAAAAUCGACAGAAUAUCCGAAUAUGUAGCAAAUUUGCUCUGUUUUCUCAUGAGUACUCUUUUUGAUAACCGAUUUAGCACAUGCGAAAAGAAAUUCCAGUCAUAAACGCAAAACUUUUCAUUCUAGAAUGUAAAAGUUCCUAAAAUCUAUUUGAAUUUGGAAAGAGAUCACCUACGAAAACUCAAAAGUGUUAUUACUCAUGAAAAUUUUCUAGAUUUAUAAAAAAAUAUCGAAUCUGCCUAUUUACUGUUGCUUCUCCCCAAAAUUAA
rnacentral:lncRNA from 1 species